CAGCAGCCGCGGUAAUACGGAGGGUCCGAGCGUUAUCCGGAUUUAUUGGGCGUAAAGAGCUCGUAGGCGGGUUUUUAAGUCAGUGGUGAAAGCCCACAGCUCAACUGUGGAACUGCCAUUGAUACUGAAGACCUUGAAUUAUGGUGAAGUGGGCGGAAUAUGUAGUGUAGCGGUGAAAUGCAUAGAUAUUACAUAGAACACCGAUUGCGAAGGCAGCUCACUAACCGUGGAUUGACGCUGAUGGACGAAAGCGUGGGGAGCAAACGGGAUUAGAUACCCCGGUAGUCCUGGCUGUAAACGAUGGAUACUAGCUGUCCGGUGCCUUGAGUACUGGGCGGCCCAGCGAAAGUGAUAAGUAUCCCACCUGGGGAGUACGUUCGCAAGAAUGAAACUCAAAGGAAUUGACGGGGGCCCGCACAAGCGGUGGAGCAUGUGGUUUAAUUCGAUGAUACGCGAGGAACCUUACCUGGGCUAGACAUGGCGAGGGAGUUACCAAGAGAUGGUAACGCCGCAAGGCCCGAAGACAGGUGCUGCAUGGUUGUCGUCAGCUCGUGCCGUGAGGUGUCAGGUUAAGUCCUAUAACGAGGCGAACCCUUGUGAACUGUUGCCAUCGGCUAAUGCCGGGGACUC
rnacentral:rRNA from 1 species